GGAACACUGACCAUAGGAAGUUGUUUUCCUGAGGGAAGAGUAGUGUCCCACACUAUGAUGGAUGCCAUUUGGAAGCAGCGGUGGCAAGGACCAUGGCCAGAGGGAAAGCUUUGGCAGAAACACCCUGUCUCGUAUUCGUGUGUAAACCAUCCCACAGCUGACUAGCAAAUGAAGCCUUGGGACAGUGUGCUUCCCACAAAUAUGCCUUCCUUCAGUGGCAGCAGUGACAUUGUAUCAAAAUACAGGACUGACAUCAUGUGCCUCCUGACAAGAUGCAACAGAGAGACACGGCAUCAUCUGUGUAAUAUUACAUUCCUUGUAAAAAUAUUCGACUUAAAACAUCAUGAGGCAACAAUCAGACAAGCCCAGCAUGGAACCUUCUGUAAGCCAGCUGGCCUGGCCACUUCAGAAAUAUCAGUGUCAUGAAAGAAAAACAGCAACAAAAAAUACAGAGACUAUUCUACAUUAAAGAAAGCCGAGGGACUAUGACAAUUCAAUGCCAUGUGUAAUCCUGAAGAGGGUCCCAAUCAUUUAAAAAGAAAAAACCACAAAGGACAUUAUUAAGACAAUCGGGAAAACACAAAAAGGGACUACAUAUUAGAUAACAUUACUAUAUCAGUGUUAAAUUUUGAGAUGUAUUAGUAUUGUGGUUACAGAAGAAAAUGUCCUUGUUCUUAGAGGAGAAACAUGCCGAAGUAUCUAGGACUGAAGUGUCAUUGUGUGUGCAACUUUCAAAUGGUUCAGAAAAAAAAAAGUGCAUGUGUACAUUUGUGUGUGUGUGUAUAUGUGUCUGGACAGAGGAGAGAAAGACAGAAACCAAGUGUGGUAAAAUGUAAACAAUCAAAUCUAUGUGAGGGGUAUGGAAGUGUUCAUUGUAUGACUUUGAACUAUUCUAUAGCCCUGAAAAAAAAUUUUUAAGAUUUAUUUGAGAGAGAGAGAUUGCAAGAGAGAACACAAGUAGAAGGUAGGGAGAGGAGAGGCAGACUCCCCAUUGAGCAGGGUUUGCUCAA